CAGCAGCCGCGGUAAUACGUAGGGUGCGAGCGUUAAUCGGAAUUACUGGGCGUAAAGCGUGCGCAGGCGGUUCGUUAAGACAGAUGUGAAAUCCCCGGGCUUAACCUGGGAACUGCAUUUGUGACUGGCGAGCUAGAGUAUGGCAGAGGGGGGUAGAAUUCCACGUGUAGCAGUGAAAUGCGUAGAGAUGUGGAGGAAUACCGAUGGCGAAGGCAGCCCCCUGGGCCAAUACUGACGCUCAUGCACGAAAGCGUGGGGGGCAAACAGGAUUAGAUACCCCCGUAGUCCCUGUCUCUUAUAC
rnacentral:rRNA from 1 species